rnacentral:lncRNA from 1 species
GCCUAGCUGACACAGGAGUGGGAUGUGAACGGCUGACUAGCCCCACUACAAAUAGCCUCUUUCAGUUUCAUUGAUGCCAGGUGGGAGUAGAUGCUCAGCUACCCGCUGGGCCCGACUGACAGUACCAAAGCAGGAAAAUCAGAGCGUUGCUUGCUUCUGCUGGUGGCAGACAGAAGAUUAGCUCCCUGUUUGACCCUGGAACACCACCAGAUUGUGAACUUACCUUCAACUGUAGAAGCCAGAUCCUACCAUCCCCAGCCUCCCUUCCACUGAGGUACAGAUUUUUGACUUGGGUUCCACCAAUCAGAUGAAAUCGGUGUGAGACAUCGUUUGGAAGCCAACUGCAAGAGGACCAGGCAGGGUCUAGGGCACCCGUGUUGCUGGUGUGCUGGAGGCAGAGGCAAAGUGGUUCUGGGGUCACAUCUUCCUUAGCAGUGCAAGCAUUUCAAGUUAUCCUCUUCCCCUCUAAGCAAUGCUAAGCUUUAUCCCACAAAUUUUGGUAUGUCAGGUUUUCAUUAUCCUUCAGUUAGAAAUAUAUUCUAAUUUCUCUUGUGAUUUCUCCUUUGACACGUGUUAUUUAAAGUGUUUAAUUUCCAAAUAUGGGGGGAAUUUUCAUUUUCCUGACAUCUUUCUCAUAUUGAUUUCUAUUUUAAUUCCAC